ACCAAGGUGGUAUGGUUUGAGCACUGGAUUAGGACUCUGGAGACCAGGGUUCGAAUCCCUGCUUGGUC